UUGACCGUACUAAGGUAGCAUAAUAAUUUGCCUUUUAAUUGGAGGCUAGUAUGAAUGGCUUGACGUGAAAUAUACUGUCUCAACUAUAUUUAGUAGAAUUUAACUUUUAGGUGAAGAGGCCUAAAUUUUGUGGGAAGACAAGAAGACCCUAUUGAGCUUUAAAUAUUUAUGUUAGUGGGAGCCUAAGAUUUAUAUGAUGGUCAUUACUUCUAAGUAUGUUGGUUGGGGCGACCGAGGAGUAUAAAGUAACCUCCUUGUAAUGUAAAGAAUUUGUUAUCAACGAACCUGUAAUAUGGGUUAUUCGGUAGUUACCAUAGGGAUAACAGCGUAAUUCUUUUGAAGAGUUCAUAUCGAAGAAAGAGAUUGCGACCUCGAUGUUGGAUUAAGGUGUCCUAAGGG
rnacentral:rRNA from 1 species